GUGCUUGCCUUGGCAGCACAUAUAUUAAAAUUGAAAUGAUUCCUAGAAGAUUAGCAUGGCCCCUCCCCAAGGAUGACAUGCAUAUUCAUGAAGCAAUCAGUAUUUUU